GAAGGCUGUGCGGUUUUCCACUCUUCACUCAUUUUUCUUUCUCUGCUUAACUAAGGAACAUACCUAUUGCUUCAGUUCUGACAUCUUCAACCACGCACCUGCUCAGCUGCUGCUGUGUCUCUCAACUCAACUCAACUUGGUCCAGCAGGAGAGGUCAGACUCACCUGCUCCCAGCUGUGUGUCCAUGAAAUUUGGCUAGUGGAUGGUCCCCCACCGAAAUUCUGUAAUGAGGGCAUUACUGCUGAUAAAAGGUCUCCAACGAACACUGAAGGAGGUGCAUCAGCAGGUGCGACAGAACCAGUGAACCCCUAACCGGGAAGACACGCUAGAGCUGCUCCCAGGCGACUGGGUUCUCAUCCGUGACC